rnacentral:lncRNA from 1 species
AAAGCGCAGGUCCCCGCCUCGGCAGCCACGGGACACCUGCAUCUGCCAACAAGACUGGAAGCAGAAAGGGACAGAGACGGCGAAGUUUGACGGUCUGGAAAGCAGAGACCAGCAGGGCUGACUGCUUGGGAGCACCAAAUAUCCGGACAGCGCCUCUCGGGAGGUCCGAGAAGAGAACCGCGAUCUGUUUCAGCACCGGGGCUCAGGACAGUUCCCAGCGGGCUCCGUUUCGUCUCCAGAACCCUGGACAGCUCCUCCAGUAGAGACGGGGUUUCACCAUGUUGGCCAGGCUGGUCUCAAACUCUUGACCUCUUCAUCCGUCCACCUCAGCCUCCCAAAGUGCUAGGAUUACAGGCGUGAGUCACUGCGCCUGGCCCAAGUCCGGAAUUUUCAACAGGACAUGGGUGUUACUGUGCCCAUGUGACAUUUGGGGAACCCAAGGCCCUGAGAAAGGCAGAAAAAUAACCCACGCAGGGACUCUCAGCCCACAAGUGAAGCUGAGAACCGGGAAUGGAAAACAGGGAGGCAGCACAGAGGCAGGAAACUCAGGUGUCAUAGCUUGGCUCAGCUUGGAAUGCACUCCCUCCACCUCCAACCAGAGCUCCCCACAACUGACCCUGCCUUCUUCUGCAAGCUCCAUUUCAUCAAGGGAAACGAUCCUUAUUGCCUCACCAUUUCCCACGUGAAGUCUGUAUUGACAUUCUCAUAGACCUGGGAUAUUGUGUCUGCAGCACAUAGUCCAAUUAUUUUCAUGUUAUCUACUGACAGGUCUAUUUGUCUCCCUGUUACACUGUGAGCUCCGUGAGGGCAGAAACAAUGUUAGUAUUUUCACUGCUGUGUCCCCAGCGCCUGGUCCGGGGCCCGGCACACAGCAGGCAUAUAAUAAGCAUGUGUUGAAUCAAUAAAGGCAUCAAAGAAUAAACCAAUACAUCAAUCAAUAAAUGAAUGAAUGGCCUCAGC